rnacentral:rRNA from 1 species
GACAACGACGAACGUAACCCUUACGUAGGUCUUGACACUCCCGAUGUCUUAUUUCUAGAGAUAGAAGUUACUUCGGUACAUCGGUGACAGGUGGUGCAUGGUUGUCGUCAGCUCGUGUCGUGAGAUGUUGGGUUAAGUCCCGCAACGAGCGCAACCCCUAUUGUUAGUUGCCAUCAUUCAGUUGGGCACUCUAGCGAGACUGCCGGUAAUAAACCGGAGGAAGGUGGGGAUGACGUCAAAUCAUCAUGCCCCUUAUGACCUGGGCUACACACGUGCUACAAUGGUUGGUACAACGAGUUGCGAGUCGGUGACGGCGAGCUAAUCUCUUAAAGCCAAUCUCAGUUCGGAUUGUAGGCUGCAACUCGCCUACAUGAAGUCGGAAUCGCUAGUAAUCGCGGAUCAGCACGCCGCGGUGAAUACGUUCCCGGGCCUU